rnacentral:rRNA from 1 species
AGUCGAGCGAACAGACGAGGAGCUUGCUCCUCUGACGUUAGCGGCGGACGGGUGAGUAACACGUGGAUAACCUACCUAUAAGACUGGGAUAACUUCGGGAAACCGGAGCUAAUACCGGAUAAUAUAUUGAACCGCAUGGUUCAAUAGUGAAAGACGGUUUUGCUGUCACUUAUAGAUGGAUCCGCGUCGCAUUAGCUAGUUGGUAGGGUAACGGCUUACCAAGGCAACGAUGCGUAGCCGACCUGAGAGGGUGAUCGGCCACACUGGAACUGAGACACGGUCCAGACUCCUACGGGAGGCAGCAGUAGGGAAUCUUCCGCAAUGGGCGAAAGCCUGACGGAGCAACGCCGCGUGAGUGAUGAAGGUCUUCGGAUCGUAAAACUCUGUUAUUAGGGAAGAACAAAUGUGUAAGUAACUAUGCACGUCUUGACGGUACCUAAUCAGAAAGCCACGGCUAACUACGUGCCAGCAGCCGCGGUAAUACGUAGGUGGCAAGCGUUAUCCGGAAUUAUUGGGCGUAAAGCGCGCGUAGGCGGUUUUUUAAGUCUGAUGUGAAAGCCCACGGCUCAACCGUGGAGGGUCAUUGGAAACUGGAAAACUUGAGUGCAGAAGAGGAAAGUGGAAUUCCAUGUGUAGCGGUGAAAUGCGCAGAGAUAUGGAGGAACACCAGUGGCGAAGGCGACUUUCUGGUCUGUAACUGACGCUGAUGUGCGAAAGCGUGGGGA